rnacentral:tRNA from 1 species
GUCCUUGUCGCGCAAUGGAUAGCGCGUUGGACUUCUAAUCCAAAAGUCGUGGGUUCGAAUCCCACCUGAAAUG